UAGGGAAUCUUCGGCAAUGGACGAAAGUCUGACCGAGCAACGCCGCGUGAGUGAAGAAGGUUCUCGGAUCGUAAAACUCUGUUGUUAGAGAAGAACAAGGACGUUAGUAACUGAACGUCCCCUGACGGUAUCUAACCAGAAAGCCACGGCUAACUACGUGCCAGCAGCCGCGGUAAUACGUAGGUGGCAAGCGUUGUCCGGAUUUAUUGGGCGUAAAGCGAGCGCAGGCGGUUUCUUAAGUCUGAUGUGAAAGCCCCCGGCUCAACCGGGGAGGGUCAUUGGAAACUGGGAGACUUGAGUGCAGAAGAGGAGAGUGGAAUUCCAUGUGUAGCGGUGAAAUGCGUAGAUAUAUGGAGGAACACCAGUGGCGAAGGCGGCUCUCUGGUCUGUAACUGACGCUGAGGCUCGAAAGCGUGGGGAGCAAACAGG
rnacentral:rRNA from 1 species